CGCCUCUUGACAAACUUAUAAGAGGUCCAGCCUGCCCAGUGACUUUGUUCAACGGCCGCGGUAUCCUAACCGUGCGAAGGUAGCGUAAUCACUUGUUCUUUAAAUGAGGACUAGUAUGAAUGGCAUCACGAAGGUUAUACUGUCUCCUUUUUCUAAUCAGUGAAACUAAUCUUCCCGUGAAGAAGCGGGAAUAGUAAUAUAAGACGAGAAGACCCUAUGGAGCUUUAAACAAAUAUACAAUUGCCCACUUAAUUAAAAAUUUCAGAAGAUAAAUACUUACCCAGGCACUUUGAUAUAAAGUUUUAGGUUGGGGUGACCGCGGAGCAAAAGACAACCUCCACAGUGAAAGGGGGAUCCCCCUAAACUAAGGGCUACUACCCUAAGUAUCAAUAAACUGACACCAGUUGACCCAAUACACUUGAUCAACGAACCAAGUUACCCUAGGGAUAACAGCGCAAUCCACUUCAAGAGCUCCUAUCGACAAGUGGGUUUACGACCUCGAUGUUGGAUCAGGGUAUCCUAGUGGUGCAGCCGCUACUAACGGUUCGUUUGUUCAACGAUUAAAACCC
rnacentral:rRNA from 1 species